rnacentral:rRNA from 1 species
UACGGAGGGGGCAAGCGUUGUUCGGAUUUACUGGGCGUAAAGGGUCCGUAGGCGGUUGCGUGUGUCUGGUGUGAAAUCUUCAUCGCUCAACGGGAAGAGGCCACUGGAAACUGCGCAACUUGAGUAUGGUAGAGGCAAGCGGAAUUCCUGGUGUAGCGGUGGAAUGUGUAGAUAUCAGGAAGAACAUCGGUGGCGAAGGCGGCUUGCUGGGCCAUUACUGACGCUGAGGGACGAAAGCGUGGGGAGCAAACGGGAUUAGAUACCCCGGUAGUCCACGCUGUAAACGGUGCACACUAGGUGUGGCGGGUAUCGACCCCUGCUGUGCCGACGUUAACACAUUAAGUGUGCCGCCUGGGGAGUACGGCCGCAAGGUUGAA